GACGAACGCUGGCGGCGUGCCUAAUACAUGCAAGUCGAGCGAGCUGAAUUCAAAGAUUCCUUCGGGAUGAUUUGUUGGAUGCUAGCGGCGGAUGGGUGAGUAACACGUGGGCAAUCUGCCCUAAAGACUGGGAUACCACUUGGAAACAGGUGCUAAUACCGGAUAACAACAUGAAUCGCAUGAUUCAAGUUUGAAAGGCGGCGUAAGCUGUCACUUUAGGAUGAGCCCGCGGCGCAUUAGCUAGUUGGUGGGGUAAAGGUCUACCAAGGCAAUGAUGCGUAGCCGAGUUGAGAGACUGAUCGGCCACAUUGGGACUGAGACACGGCCCAAACUCCUACGGGAGGCAGCAGUAGGGAACCUUCCACAAUGGACGCAAGUCUGAUGGAGCAACGCCGCGUGAGUGAAGAAGGUUUUCGGAUCGUAAAGCUUUGUUGUUGGUGAAGAAGGAUAGAGGCAGUAACUGGUCUUUAUUUGACGGUAAUCAACCAGAAAGUCACGGCUAACUACGUGCCAGCAGCCGCGGUAAUACGUAGGUGGCAAGCGUUGUCCGGAUCUAUUGGGCGUAAAGCGAGCGCAGGCGGAAUGAUAAGUCUGAUGUGAAAGCCCACGGCUCAACCGUGGAACUGCAUCGGAAACUGUCAUUCUUGAGUGCAG
rnacentral:rRNA from 1 species